AGUGAACGCUGGCGGCAGGCCUAAUACAUGCAAGUCGAACGGCAGCACAGCAGAGCUUGCUCUGUGGGUGGCGAGUGGCGGACGGGUGAGGAAUACAUGGGAAUCUGCCCAGUCGUGGGGAUAACGUAGGGAAACUUACGCUAAUACCGCAUGCGCCCUUCGGGGAAAGCCGGGGACCUUCGGGCCUGGCGCGAUUGGAUGAGCCCAUGUCGGAUUAGCUAGUUGGCGGGGUAAUGGCCCACCAAGGCGACGAUCCGUAGCUGGUCUGAGAGGAUGAUCAGCCACACUGGAACUGAGACACGGUCCAGACUCCUACGGGAGGCAGCAGUAGGGAAUAUUGGACAAAUGGGCGCAAGCCUGAUCCAGCCAUGCCGCGUGAGUGAAG
rnacentral:rRNA from 1 species